GAGGGACCUUCAUUGGUUUAGAUCGUCAAAGAUACUUCUGGCUUUUGAUUUCCAUUAGGAUUUGGGUCGAGGAGCAGAUAAAGGGGUAUAGCUAUUGAAUCACUGAGGUGGGCUCCUCGAUCGAUGACUCUUCGAUGGUCGAGAGGAUUCUCCUUCCAUCUGGGUCGUUGUUUGAGAAUCUUCUCAACCCCACUUCUUG
rnacentral:lncRNA from 1 species